GCUGGAAUUGUAUGAUUGUGAAGACAUCGCGAACCUUAAAGGUUGAGAAGUGAACGGAUUAUACGGCGAACUGAGACGACGUGAAAAAGGGGAUUGGAAGCGGCAUUGAUGUGAGUACUAAGAGCCAGUCGAAAGUGCCCUGUAUAUUGACCUGGCGUUGUGUAGAUCUCUCCAGGAGGAGGAGGGCGGCCCUACCCCUAAUAUAGCGUGGUGGGAGAGCCGAAGGAAUACUUAUUGAAGUAGUCACAACGACGACAUCACUAGCUAGGCCGCAUAUUCCAUCGCCAGAUCCGAACCAAGCGAAGUGAAGGAAGACGGGUGUCCUUUUCGUACACUGAGUGUGGUGGGUGAGUCUUCAUGCUGUGAAAACCUAUAAUUUUGACGUGGUGCUGUAUAUUGCUGUGGGCUGCUGUGUAUUGCCGUGUGUCCUGUCAGAUAAACCCCCGCCUUCACGCACUUCGUCGCGGGAGGACAAGGAGACUGCUGGUCCUAGCCUAGUUCAGUACAGUAUAUGUUGUGAGCGUGCUUCAGAUCUCCGGAGAUAGCACAGUACGCUGUGUCCAGCCCAGAGGUGAAAGCCAUCCAAAGCAGAGUAACUGUGCUUUGCGUCCAAGUUGAUACCUGUGGAGAGGAAAGGAAAGAGAGUGAAUAACACGAGGAGGAAUAGAGCGAACCCUGUACUUACAGUACGCUGUGUCCAGCCCAGAGGUGAAAGCCAUCCAAAGCAGAGUAACUGUGCUUUGCGUCCAAGUUGAUACCUGUGGAGAGGAAAGGAAAGAGAGUGAAUAACACGAGGAGGAAUAGAGCGAACCCUGUACUUACAGUACGCUGUGUCCAGCCCAGAGGUGAAAGCCAUCCAAAGCAGAGUAACUGUGCUUUGCGUCCAAGUUGAUACCUGUGGAGAGAAAAGGAGAGAGAGGGAAUAACACGAGGAGGAAUAGAGCGAACCCUGUACUUACAGUACGCUGUGUCCAGCCCAGAGGUGAAAGCCAUCCAAAGCAGAGUAACUGUGCUUUGCGUCCAAGUUGAUACCUGUGGAGAGGAAAGGAAAGAGAGAUUGAUACCUGUGGAGAGAAAAGGAGAGAGAGUGGGUAACACGAGGAGAGACCGAGGAAACCUGUACUUACGCCGCUGCCUGUGGAGAAAGAGAAAGCGAGUGAGCACCCAAGGAACGAACUGUGUGAACCAGUACUUACUGUGAGCUGUAAUCAGCGAAGAGCCGUUGCCUGUGGAGGAAGAGAAAGAGAGUGAGCACCCCGAGAACGAACUGUGUGAACCAGUACUUACCGUGAGCUGUAUUCAGCGAAGAGGAGGAAGAAGGAGGGCGCUACGGAUACCUAAGACUCAGGCCGGGGCCCGAGUCCCACGCCCCGGAUCCCCGUGGCCCCCUUGCUCCCUGACCUCUUCCCGGCCAUAGCCCAUCUGGAGGGCCGAGUCAGAGUUUAGUUUUAAUUGCCCUUUCCCUAUUCCCCAAGCUAUUUUUAAAUAUUUAAAUAAAGAUUGUUUUAUCACUUACUUGUUCUCGUGU
ensembl:lncRNA